CCUACGGGGGACAGCAGUGGGGAAUAUUGGGCAAUGGAGGCAACUCUGACCCAGCAACGCCGCGUGAAUGAUGAAGGUCUUCGGAUUGUAAAGUUCUUUUCUAAGGGAAGAAGGAAGUCACGGUACCUUAGGAAUAAGCCUCGGCUAACUACGUGCCAGCAGCCGCGGUAAUACGUAGGAGGCAAGCGUGAUCCGGAAUGACUGGGCGUACGGGGUGCGUAGGUGGUAGGACAAGUUAAGGGCGAAAUUCGGGCGCUCAACGUCGGAACUACUAUUGAAAGUGUUGGACUGGAGUGUGGGAGAGGAUAGGGGAAGUCCAGGUGGAGGAGGGAAAGCCGUAGAUAGCGGGAGGAACAUCAGGGGAGAAGGCGACUAGCGGGCACAUAAAUGACGCUGAGGAGUGAAAGCGUGGGUAGCAAACAGGAUUAGAGACAAUUGUAGGG
rnacentral:rRNA from 1 species